rnacentral:rRNA from 1 species
CCUACGGGAGGCAGCAGUGAGGAAUAUUGGUCAAUGGGCGGAAGCCUGAACCAGCCAAGUAGCGUGCGGGAUGAAGGCCCUACGGGUCGUAAACCGCUUUUGCACGGGGAUAACACCCUCCACUUGUGGAGGUCUGCAGGUACCGUGCGAAUAAGGGCCGGCUAAUUCCGUGCCAGCAGCCGCGGUAAUACGGAAGGCCCGAGCGUUAUCCGGAUUCAUUGGGCUUAAAGGGAGCGUAGGCGGGCGUUCAAGUCAGCUGUAAAAUCGCGCGGCUCAACCGCGCCCCGCAGUUGAAACUGGAAGCCUUGAGUUCGCAACAGGCAGGCGGAAUUCGUGGUGUAGCGGUGAAAUGCAUAGAUAUCUGGAGGAACAUCAGUGGCGAAGGCGACUAUCUGGCACAUAACUGACGCUGAGGAGCGAAAGCGUGGGUAGCGAACAGGAUUAGAUACCCCAGUAGUC